GCCGGAGUGGCGGAAUGGCAGACGCGAUGGAUUCAAAAUCCAUUGACCUUUAACGGUCGUGUGGGUUCGACUCCCACCUUCGGCACCA
rnacentral:tRNA from 2 species